CACGCCCUAAACGAUGUCAACUAGGUGUUGGGUGGGUAAAACCAUUUAGUACCGGAGCUAACGCGUGAAGUUGACCGCCUGGGGAGUACGGCCGCAAGGUUAAAACUCAAAGGAAUUGAC
rnacentral:rRNA from 1 species